rnacentral:rRNA from 1 species
AGUGAACGCUGGCGGUAGGCCUAACACAUGCAAGUCGAACGGCAGCACAGUAAGAGCUUGCUCUUACGGGUGGCGAGUGGCGGACGGGUGAGGAAUACAUCGGAAUCUACUUUUUCGGGGGGGAUAACGUAGGGAAACUUACGCUAAUACCGCAUACGACCUACGGGUGAAAGCAGGGGAUCUUCGGACCUUGCGCGAUUGAAUGAGCCGAUGUCGGAUUAGCUAGUUGGCGGGGUAAAGGCCCACCAAGGCGACGAUCCGUAGCUGGUCUGAGAGGAUGCUCAGCCACACUGGAACUGAGACACGGUCCAGACUCCUACGGGAGGCAGCAGUGGGGAAUAUUGGACAAUGGGCGCAAGCCUGAUCCAGCCAUACCGCGUGGGUGAAGAAGGCCUUCGGGUUGUAAAGCCCUUUUGUUGGGAAAGAAAAGCAGCAGGUUAAUACCCCGCUGUUCUGACGGUACCCAAAGAAUAAGCACCGGCUAACUUCGUG